rnacentral:rRNA from 1 species
UACGUAGGGGCCGAGCGUUGUCCGGAGUUAUUGGGCGUAAAGCGCGACGCAGGCGGCCUCGCGCGCCCGACGUGAAAGCCCCCCGGCUUAAACCCGGGGGAGGGUCGUUGGGGACGGCGGGGGCUUGAGGGCGGGAGAGGGUGGUGGGAAUUCCCGGUGUAGUGGUGAAAUGGCGUAGAGAUCGGGAGGAACGACCCGUGGC